UACGAAGGGGGCUAGCGUUGCUCGGAAUCACUGGGCGUAAAGGGCGCGUAGGCGGCCGAUUAAGUCGGGGGUGAAAGCCUGUGGCUCAACCACAGAAUUGCCUUCGAUACUGGUUGGCUUGAGACCGGAAGAGGACAGCGGAACUGCGAGUGUAGAGGUGAAAUUCGUAGAUAUUCGCAAGAACACCAGUGGCGAAGGCGGCUGUCUGGUCCGGUUCUGACGCUUAGGCGCGAAAGCGUGGGGAGCAAACAGG
rnacentral:rRNA from 1 species